UACGAAGGGGGCUAGCGUUGCUCGGAAUUACUGGGCGUAAAGCGUGCGCAGGCGGUCUGUUAAGACCGAUGUGAAAUCCCCGGGCUUAACCUGGGAACUGCAUUGGUGACUGGCAGGCUUUGAGUGUGGCAGAGGGAGGUAGAAUUCCACGUGUAGCAGUGAAAUGCGUAGAGAUGUGGAGGAAUACCGAUGGCGAAGGCAGCCUCCUGGGCCAACACUGACACUGGAGGCACGAAAGCGUGGGGAGCAAACAGG
rnacentral:rRNA from 1 species